ACUUGAAUUAUUUAAGUGUUUUCACAGUCUUACACCUAACAUGAGUAAUAUGUUACUACACCUAUGCGUAUUUCAUUAAACAGAACCAAAUGUAAAAGCACCAAACCGGGAAUUACAAUAAUAAAGCCAAUCAAAACAACAGUUACCGUUCUGAAUUGGCCAUAGCUAACGUUUUCUAACCAAUCAGAGUGGAAGGGAAGGGGCGGCUUUAAUGGGCAUGCGCUGUAUCGUAGCAACAUGAGAGACAGAGGAAUGUUUAUACUGUUGAGCACAUUUAAAGUUACGUAAACAGCAGAUGUAGAGUGAAUUAUGAUCAGUCCGUUAAAUGAAAUCGAUUAGUAAACUAGAAUCAGUAAGCUAGUAUAAGUCGCAUUAAAGACGUUUCCACACGUUGUAGUUAUAACCCCUUGCAGCCGCAGCGGCCAUUGAGUGUGUGACGCAGGAGAGUAGUUACGUAUUUCAAUCAGCUAGCGGCGGUCGCCGUUGCUGAGUUUGUUGUUUGUAAAACGUGAGAGAGUAUACCGGAUAUUCAUGGGAGGAGCUGUAAGCCAUCCUGCUAUUUUUUUGUUGUUUAAUUUUUUUAUUAUUAUUUUAAAGCGCUUCGUAUAGUGAAAAGGCUACAAUAUAACAUUUUUUUCUGUAUACUUGUCAAUGACGACUAUAAUGUGGUGAGACAGGUCUGAGUUAUAUAUAAAAUCCAUUCUAAGUCUAAUACAGACUACUACGCCACUUGUAUACUUAUAUAACACAUACAAAUUACGUCGGACAAUAUUCGUAAUUCAGUUUUUUGUGAAACAUCACUGUGAUUCCUGAAGCACAGGCUAUGUUAAACAUAAAUAUAACUACAUUUUUACUAAUGUGUUUUAUUGCCUUGUUCAUAUACUAAAAACAAUGCUGAUCGAUGACAUUGCAAUGCCCGAAUGUUCAUUAAGGUGCUUUUUAUUUUACUGCCUUGGCAUGUUCUCUGUCUUGCAGAAUCAGGGGUCCAUCUUUGUAACCGGCUUUGUUGAAGGACUUGCCCCUCCUCUUCCUGGUUCUCUGCUUGUAUGGUUUACGACUGUUCUGUGUAGUCAGACUACAGCCAGAAACCGAUUGUCCUCUUCUCAUACCCUCCUAAAUGUGUGACAGAUUUAACCCCGCCCAUUGUACUGAAGGAAACUGGCCUUAGCGAGUGCUGCCGGAACUUGAGGGACAAGAUCAGAAUGUGGAGACUGCACGCUUUGAGUUCUGGUUAUGUUUAACUAUUUCUGGUCCAUAUGUAGUCUGUGCUAAGGCUGUGAGUUCACUGUUGUUUAUACGAGUAAAUUCGAUCUAUUGCAGUGAAAAAAACGCUGCUAUAGCAUGAGAUGAGAGAGAAUUAGCUGUGUGUUUGUGGCUCUGUACAUAAGUGACCUAUGUUUGUACAAACACUGCAAUUUAAUUGUAACUGUUUUAUUUUUGUUUUUUUACCAGUCCAUAUUCAGAAAGUUAUUGUGAAUGAAGGAGACUAUGUUUUUUUAAAAAUCAGAAUGUGCAUAAUCAAUCAUUUGCUGCCUUUCUGGAGACUCACAAGCAAAACACGAGUGUUUGAGUUGUCAUCUUUCAAAGCAAGGACGUUCCAGAAAAUAAAUGUGCAAUGCUUUAACAAAGUGAACCAUUUAAGAUCCGACACGUUGUGUACAGGAUCCGAGAAGAAAUGGCAAAAACCAAUGGGAUUUGACACCGGCUUAAAGACAUAUAACAGCCUCACUAAAGGAAAAGAACCUCUAAUACUGGCAAAAGAAGGAAUUGCGACCUGGUAUAGCUGUGGUCCUACAGUAUAUGAUCAUGCCCAUCUUGGACAUGCUUGUUCCUAUGUUAGGUUUGAUAUUGUGCAAAGGAUUCUUACCAGAGUAUUUGGAAUCAAUGUUAUCCACGUGAUGGUCAUUACUGACAUUGAUGACAAGAUUAUUAAAAGAGCCUCUGAGUUAAACAUGUCUUCAACAGUUCUUGCUCGACUUUAUGAAGAGGAGUUUAAGAGUGAUAUGGCAGCGCUCAAGGUACUUCCUCCUACAGUUUAUAUGAGAGUUACUGAGAAUAUUCCACAAAUCAUUGCUUUUAUAGAAGGCAUAAUAAACAACCAGCAUGCUUAUGCAACACCCAAAGGCAGUGUCUAUUUUGACAUCAAGUCAAUUGGAAGUCGAUAUGGAAAGCUAAUGGGCGGGUUUGUUGACUCCGGAGGGGAGCUAGGUGACACAGGUGACACUGAUAAGCGAAAUGCCAGGGAUUUUGCCCUUUGGAAGGCAUCCAAGCCGCAGGAACCAUUCUGGGAGUCUCCAUGGGGAAAAGGAAGACCUGGCUGGCACAUUGAAUGCUCCACAAUAGCAAGCACUGUUUUUGGAAGUCAAUUGGAUAUUCAUUCUGGCGGGAUAGACCUUGCCUUUCCACAUCAUGAAAAUGAAAUUGCACAAUGUGAAGCUUAUCAUCAGUGUGCUCAAUGGGGAAACUACUUUCUGCACUCAGGACAUUUGCAUCUUAAAGGAAGUGAAGAGAAGAUGUCCAAAUCUUUAAAAAACUUCAUCACAAUAAAGGACUUUUUCCAGACAUUUUCAGCAAAUGAAUUCAGAAUGUUUUGCCUUCUUACCAAGUACAGAUCAGCAAUUGACUACAGCGAUGCCAGUAUGAAUGAAGCUAAAAGCGUUCUGAGUUCCAUCUCGUCAUUUUUCAGUGAUGCGGGUGCUUACAUGACAGGAAAAUUGUUGUGCCAGAGUGUUGAUGAAGGCUUUUUGUGGGAAAGGUUAGCGGCUGCAAAAGUGAAUGUUCAGACAGCACUGACAGAUGACUUUGACACCCCAAGGGCUAUUGAUGAAAUUAUGGGCCUCAUUCACCAUGGCAACCGGCAGCUUCAGGCUGUUACUAAGGGAGGUCAGUCUUCCAGAAGCCCAGCUGUGUUUGGAGCCAUUCUUUCUUACAUAGAGGGAUUCUUGGACACAGUGGGUGUUUCUGUAAAGGAGAAUACGUGUGUAACAGGAGAAAGUUCACAUGGCACUCUUCCUAGUGUUGUUGAACAGUUGGUGAGUUUUCGAAGCCAGGUUCGCAGUUAUGCCCUGGCUACCGAUGAACUUGCUCCAGUUUUAUCUGACUGCAGUCAGCUGUCCGAGGAGAGGAAGUCCCAGCUAAAGGAGCACAGGAAGCAGCAGAUACGGGAGCGGGAACCUCUUCUGAAGGCCUGUGAUGUCCUUCGGAGGGACCUCGCACCCCUUGGAAUUAACAUUAAGGACAGAGGUAACACCUCAACGUGGGAAAUAACAGAGAAGAGGACAGAGCUGCAAAAGGAAGAGGCAAACUAGUGCUAUACAGAAGUCCCAUUACAGCUGCAAUGCUCUGCACAUUAAAAACAAUUGACUGUGAAACCUUGGAUUUGUGUUUGACAAGAUAAGUCUGCAGUAUUUAUGUGAUUGUAAUCAGCCUUGUAAUGUUAAAAGCGCAGAAUAUAAAAUGUAUUGGUAAUCUUGUAAUUACUACACACAUAAAUGUUAAAAUAAUUAAAUACAGCACUUUCUUAGGCAAGGCAGGCAGUAAUUUGACAGUGCUUACAGAUAUUAAUUUCAAGAUUUCAUGUGUUUUUUUUUUUUAAUAUUUAUGCAAAGGAAAGAAUACUAGGUUGUCAAUCAACAGCUAGCCAUGCAAUAGCCAUGCCACGUCUUUUGGAAUUGUCUGAUAUGAAAUUAAGGAAUACACAACUCAUUUGGGGAUUGUACUUUUAGUGUGUUUUGCAAGGAUAGAAAAGUACAUCAUUGUUUCAGGUUGAGCAUGACAAGAUAGUUAAUGUAGUAGAACACAUGUAUGCUUUUAUUUACAAUACAGCCACUGUAGGAUACGCAUUACAUACAAUACUGUGUUUUCAUUUAUGUGUGUGUGUCUCUCUCUCUCUCUCUCUCUCUCUCUCUCUCUAUAUAUAUAUAUAUCUCAUAACCCAUUUCAGGAAGAAACUUAACAUUUUUAGUAUUGUGGAAAGUCUGCAGGCACCAUCUAAUGGCUUCUUUCUUUUUGACCUGUGACUGAAGAUGGCUACCAUAUCAGAGUCGUGACUGGUUAAUGUAUAAUAAAAAGAUUGCUCAGUGUGAAGGCCCUCUCGAUUACUGCAAGAGAAACACCAUUAGAUAUUCUCAGGACUGCCCAGUCCCUGACCACCUUCCGGCGCCUCCUCAAGACUCACCUCUUCAGACAGCACCUGUAGAACUCCUCUGUUUUUCCCCCUGGACACUUAUCACUCUUCCUUAAAUGUGCUUUACUUGCUCUUAUCUGCCCCCUAUUUUACUGCAUUUAAUCCUGUACUUUAGAUUACUGUAAUCUGUCAAGUGUUAUUUAAAGUAUUUUGUACUUAAUUAUAUCCUGAUGCAACUAUCACUGACACUGUUAUCUGCUCCAUUAUUGAACCGUAUUUUGUCAUACUUGUACUUGCUAGAACCAAAAUCAUUGUAUUUAUCUUGCUCUUAAUUGUAUUAUUACUUGUACUGUGAUUCUUGAAAUGUAUUUGUUUACGACUGUAAAUUGCCCUGGAUAAGGGCGUCUGCUAAGAAAUAAAUAAUAAGGUCGAAAAAGUCCA